AUUGAACGCUGGCGGCAGGCUUAACACAUGCAAGUCGAGCGGGGACUUCGGUCCUAGCGGCGAACGGGUGAGGAAUGCUUGGGAAUCUGCCCAGUAGCGGGGGAUAACGUUUCGAAAGGAACGCUAAUACCGCAUACGCCCUACGGGGGAAAGGGGGGGAUCUUCGGACCUCUCACUAUUGGAUGAGCCCAAGUCGGAUUAGCUAGUUGGUGGGGUAAAGGCCUACCAAGGCGACGAUCCGUAGCUGGUCUGAGAGGAUGAUCAGCCACACUGGAACUGAGACACGGUCCAGACUCCUACGGGAGGCAGCAGUGGGGAAUAUUGGACAAUGGGCGAAAGUCUGAUCCAGCCAUGCCGCGUGUGUGAAGAAGGCCUUCGGGUUGUAAAGCACUUUAAGCGAGGAGGAAUGGCUGAGGGUUAAUAACCUUCAGCAGUGACGUUACUCGCAGAAUAAGCACCGGCUAACUCUGUGCCAGCAGCCGCAGUAAUAC
rnacentral:rRNA from 1 species